rnacentral:rRNA from 1 species
UCGAAAAUGUCCGGGGCUGAAACACGACACCGAAGCUGUGGAUCCGAAAGGAUGGUAGAGGAGCAUUCUUAAGUCGACGAAGCUGUACUGUAAGGAGCAGUGGAGAGUUAAGAAGAGGGAAUGCCGGAAUGAGUAGCAAGAUUUAAGUGAGAAUCCUAAAGGCCGAAUAUCUAAGGUUUCCAGGGUAAAGCUGAUCUUCCCUGGGUAAGUCGGGGCCUAAGGCGAGGGCGAGAGCCGUAGUCGAUGGAUAACAGGUUGAAAUUCCUGUACUGCUUAUGGACAGAACUGUGGGGACGCAGAAGGAGAGCACGAGCCGGAAAUGGAAAAGCCGGUACAAGCGUAUAGCAGUCAUGCAGGCAAAACCGCAUGAAAAAUGUAAAGCGUUAUGUGGAUCGAACAUUAGUAGAGAAGCGUGUGAGCCAGCUGCCAAGAAAAGCCGCUAUUGCUUCAUAAGUACCCGUACCGUAAACCGACACAGGUGGAUGAGGAGAGAAUCCUAAGGCCGGCGGGAGAAGUGUUGUUAAGGAACUCGGCAAAAUGACUCCGUAACUCCGGGAGAAGGAGUGCCACAGAGAUGUGGCCGCAGAGAAAUGGCCCAAGCAACUGUUUAGCAAAAACACAGGUCUAUGCAAAACCGAAAGGUGAGGUAUAUGGGCUGACGCCUGCCCGGUGCUGGAAGGUUAAGAGGAGAGGUUAGAGCAAUCGAAGCUUUGAAUUUAAGCCCCAGUAAACGGCGGCCGUAACAAUAACGGUCCUAAGGUAGCGAAAUUCCUUGUCGGGUAAGUUCCGACCCGCACGAAAGGCGUAAUGAUUUGGGCACUGUCUCAACAACACACCCGGUGAAAUUGAAAUACCAGUGAAGAUGCUGGUUACCUGCGCCAGGACGGAAAGACCCCAUGGAGCUUUACUCCAGUUUGAUACUGGGAUUCGGUACUGUCUGUACAGGAUAGGUGGGAGGCUAGGAAAUGGUGACGCCAGUUGCCAUGGAGCCAACCUUGGGAUACCACCCUUACAGUACUGGGUUUCUAACCUGCAGCCGUGACCCGGCUGGGGGACAAUGUCUGACGGGGAGUUUGACUGGGGCGGUCGCCUCCGAAAGAGUAUCGGAGGCGCUCAAAGGUUCCCUCAGAACGGUUGGAAACCGUUCGAAGAGUGCAAAGGCAGAAGGGAGCUUGACUGCGACACCGACGGGUGGAGCAGAUACGAAAGUAGGACUUAGUGAUCCGGUGGUAUAAAGUGGGAUUGCCACCGCUCAACGGAUAAAAGCUACCCUGGAUAACAGGCUUAUCACUCCCAAGAGUUCUCAUCGACGGAGUGGUUUGGCACCUCGAUGUCGGCUCAUCGCAUCCUGGAGCUGUAGCAGGUUCCAAGGGUUGGGCUGUUCGCCCAUUAAAGCGGUACGCGAGCUGGGUUCAGAACGUCGUGAGACAGUUCGGUCCCUAUCCGGCGUGGGCGUAGGAUAUUUGAGAGGAGCUGUCCUUAGUACGAGAGGACCGGGAUGGACAAACCUCUGGUGUAUCUGUUGUUUUACCAAAGGCAUGGCAGAGUAGCCAAGUUUGGCAGGGAUAAACGCUGAAGGCAUCUAAGCGUGAAGCCCCCCUCAAGAUAAGAUAUCCCAUCUUCGGAGUAAGACCCCUUGAAGACUACAAGGUUGAUAGGCUUCAGGUGUAAGUGUGGUAACGCACUCAGCUGAGAAGUACUAAUAGGUCGAGGACUUAUCGA